AACGAACGCUGGCGGCAUGCCUAACACAUGCAAGUCGAACGAGACCUUCGGGCUUAGUGGCGCAUGGGUGCGUAACGCGUGGGAACCUGCCCUUAGGUUUGGAAUAACUCUCCGAAAGGGGUGCUAAUACCGGAUAAUGUCUUCGGACCAAAGAUUUAUCGCCCUAGGAGGGGCCGGCGUUGGAUUAGCUUGUUGGUAUGGUAAAAGCCUAAUACGGCGACGAUCAUUAGCUGGUAAGUGAGGAUGCGCAGCGACACUGGGACUGAGAAGCAGCCCGGACUCCUACGGGAUGGGGCAGAGGGUGAUAGAGGACUAUGGGGGGAGUGCUGAAGGAGCUAUGCCGGGUGAGUGAUGAAGGCCUGAAGGAAGUAAAGCUCUUUUACCCGGGAUGGUAAUGACGUUACCGGGAGAAUAAGCACCGGCUAACUCCGUG
rnacentral:rRNA from 1 species